UACGAAGGGUGCAAGCGUUACUCGGAAUUACUGGGCGUAAAGCGUGCGUAGGUGGUUCGUUAAGUCUGUCGUGAAAGCCCCGGGCUCAACCUGGGAAUGGCGAUGGAUACUGGCGGGCUAGAGUGCGGUAGAGGAGAGUGGAAUUCCCGGUGUAGCAGUGAAAUGCGUAGAGAUCGGGAGGAACAUCAGUUGCGAAGGCGGCUCUCUGGACCAGCACUGACACUGAGGCACGAAAGCGUGGGGAGCAAACAGG
rnacentral:rRNA from 2 species